AACGCACCUUGCGCCCCUUGGCAUUCCGAGGGGCACACCCGUUUGAGUGUCGUGAAAUCCUCAACCCUUCUUUGUUUCUUUUCGAUUCGAAGAAAGGCUUGGAAUUUGGAGGCUUUUGCUGGCCUUUCUUGAAGCCAGCUCCUCUUAAAUGCAUUAGCAGGGUCUCCUCAGCUGGAUCCCUUGACGUGAUAAGCCUUUUACGUCUCAAAGGGUUUUCUGGCUCUGCCCGCUUCCAAUU
rnacentral:misc_RNA from 1 species